rnacentral:rRNA from 1 species
GCCUAACCUAACACACAAUAAAUUACCAAUUGUUCGCCAAACAACUACGAGUAAAAACUUAAAACUUAAAAGACUUGACGGUACUUCACAUCACCCUAGAGGAGCCUGUCUAAUAACCGAUACCCCACGAUUAACCCAACCCCCCCUAGCCAACCAGUCUAUAUACCGCCAUCGCCAGCUUACCUUGUAAAAGAGACAAAGUAAACGCAACAGCCACCGCUAACACGAUAGGUCGAGGUGUAACAAAUGAGGGGGUAAAAGAUGGGCUACAUUUUCUAACACAGAAAACACGAAUAAACUAUGAAAACAGAAACAGAAGGCGGAUUUAGCAGUACGCUAAGAACAAAAUACUUAACCGAAACAAACGCAAUGAAGUGUGUACACACCGCCCGUCAUCCCUGAAAAACAACAAACAUAUUUAUAAAAACACAAAAUACCUUAAACAGGGCAAGUCGUAACAUGGUAAGCGUACUGGAAAGUGCGCUUAGAAA